GUAGGUGAACCUGCGGAAGGAUCAUUAACACUCCAAAACUUCUCAUUACCUCGUAGCUCUAAGAGAGGGGGGGAGGGGGAGGGGGCAACCCCAACCCUCCCUCCCCCUUUUCUGAACAGCUCGGGGCCUAUGAAACCCUAUUCACCUUUCACGAACCCGGCGGAAAUGGGAACAGAUUUCGUCUGGGCUUUCUUCACGGAAACUCAGAGGCUGCCCAUUUCUUGCUACUUCUUUUGUCCUUUUUAUUUUUAUUUUUAACCCCAAUCAUCAUUAUUAUUUCAAGUCUGACUGGAAACAAAAAGGCUUCGGCCUCUUUCUUUCCGUUGCUCUUGUUUUUGCUCUAACCGGCACAAGGCAAUGAAAGCUACCAAAACAAAAAAAAAAACAACUCUUAGCAACGGAUAUCUUGGUUCUC
rnacentral:misc_RNA from 1 species